rnacentral:rRNA from 1 species
AACGUAGGUGGCGAGCGUUAUCCGGAUUUACUGGGCGUAAAGCGUGUGCAGAUGGGGCGGUAAGUGGUGUAUGAAAUCACUCAGCUUAACUGAGCGAGGUUAUGCCAGACUGCCGUUCUAGAGAACGGGAGAGGGACGUGGAAUUCCGGGUGUAGUGGUGAAAUGCGUAGAGAUCCGGAGGAACCCCUGAGGCGAAGGCGGCGUCCUGGCCCGAUCCUGACAUUCAGACACGACAGCAUGGGGAGCGAACGGG